rnacentral:lncRNA from 1 species
AGAAACCUAUCUUGAUAGCCAAGACCAACCAUCUCUCCAAUUAGGAGAUGGUGCACUACGACCUCUAAUGGGUUGCCUAGACCCAUGAAUCAGUUGUGAACAAGCCAUCAAUUUACAAGGAAUCCAUGACUUAGAUCUUUUAUACAACUCUUAAUGCACCUAAGUCACGUACAAUGGAAAAGAUGUAGGCAAGAAUACUCAUAAAGUAUAAUACAUGGAAUAAGGAUAGAUAAAAGUGAAACUAGAAUAUCAUUAAAUAAAUAAUGAAUUCCAAAUUUCUUACAUCAUGUAAUGCUUUUAAGGGCUCUAUGCUAACAUUCUCCCACUAACCCUCAAAGUAUCAUGCCUAUAAGGCAUGCCAAAUACACAUCUGAAACCUAUCUUUUCUUGUGACAAACAAAGACUCUCCCUGUCAAUGUCUUAAAGUAGGGAUCCACAAGGUUCUCCACAUAAGGUAUCUUGACAACCAUCACGUCACCCUUUAAACUAUCUCAACACUUUGGAGCAAAAGGACAUAAUCCCUUGUUCUCAAAAAAUACUUGAGUAUAUGCUUGACAUAACAUAAUUUUUCUAUUCUUGUUAUCCCUAAG